GCCAGCUGCCGGGAGGGAAUCGCGGACUGGGAGUCAUCCCGACCCACGUUUGGAAGUUCCCUCCUGCCGAGUCGAGGCCGGAAGUGAGGAAUUGCCAUCCCAAACUGCUCGUUUUUUUCUUGAGGGCUUCGGUGUUAGUUCCACACCACAAAUGUUACCUUUUAAUCUUUUCUGAGAGGCCAUCGUGGCCUCCCAAUCAGCGUUAGCAAAAUUGCCAGCCCUAAGAAACUGAAUGAUUUAUAAUGAUGGGAGUCGGGGAAAGGGUGGAAAUUAUGGAUCUGCUCUUGUAAACAGGAUGUGAGAACAUUGAGAAACCCUUUGAAGGACAUGUUGAUGCGUCCAUAAAGGAGAAGGAAUAACGAGCAGAGCCGGGGCUCUGGUUUGGAGACCCAAGUCUUCCUCUUUGGGUAUUUUACCCUUAGACAUCUGGACCAGUUCCUUAAAAGUCUCCAGUCUAGGAUCUAAGACACUGAUUUAGAACUAUACUGCUUUCUUUGUGAGUGCUGUUUGAUAAGUCUAGAUAAAGAGCUUUCGACCCUUUGAAUUAAAUACCUCUUUGGUCACUAAGUGCCUCUUGGGCUCUCUUCAAGGGUCCAAUUACUUGUAGACAACGAAGGUAUCUUUUUAAUUCCUCCAUGUUGAGAAUGAUACACACCUCUAAAAUACCAUGGCAAAUUAAAACAGCUCCUUUCUAAGAGUCCUGGGCUCGUUAACACUCAGCAGCUUGAGUAAAAGUGAGCCAGCACUGAAAAACAAAACACAUAAUCGAGCCCUCUCUAGUUGCGUUUAUUUCUCUGUCAGUUGUCACAUUGAAAAGUGGCUUUUAAUUUAGUAAAAGGAUAGACAAAUGGAACUUUGAAAACCCUAGGGGAGCAAGCCAAGCUGGCUUUAUGAGUGUAUACAACCUAUGCAAUAACAGAGCUAACUAGAAGGGCCCCACACAGGGUCCAAUGAUCUGCUGUUGUCUUGGAAUUCUUAAUAAUUUUGAAUAAAGGACCCGUCCUUUACAUUUU